GGGGAAUAUUGCGCAAUGGGGGAAACCCUGACGCAGCGACGCCGCGUGAGCGAAGAAGGCCUUAGGGUCGUAAAGCUCUGUUGUAAGGGACGAAUGUUCAUACUGCGAACAGUGGUGUGGAAUGACGGUACCUUACCAGCAAGCCCCGGCUAACUACGUGCCAGCAGCCGCGGUAAGACGUAGGGGGCGAGCGUUGUCCGGAAUUACUGGGCGUAAAGAGCACGUAGGCGGGUAAUUAAGUCAGAUGUGAAAGACCAGGGCCUAACCGUGGGGUUGCAUCUGAAACUGGUUGUCUUGAGGGCAGGAGAGGGCAGUGGAAUUCCUGGUGUAGCGGUGAAAUGCGUAGAAAUCAGGAGGAACACCAGUGGCGAAGGCGGCUGCCUGGACUGACCCUGACGCUGAGGUGCGAAAGCGUGGGUAGCAAAC
rnacentral:rRNA from 1 species